rnacentral:rRNA from 1 species
GACGAACGCUGGCGGCGUGCUUAACACAUGCAAGUCGAACGGAAAGGCCCUGCUUUUGUGGGGUGCUCGAGUGGCGAACGGGUGAGUAACACGUGAGUAACCUGCCCUUGACUUUGUGAUAACUUCAGGAAACUGGGGCUAAUACCGGAUAGGAUCUCCUGCUGCAUGGUGGUGGUUGGAAAGUUUCGGCUGUUGUGGAUGGACUCGCGGCUUAUCGGCUUGUUGGUGGGGUAGUGGCUUACCAAGGCUUUGACGGGUAGCCGGCCUGGGAGGGUGAACGGCCACAAUGGGACUGAGAUACGGACCAGACUCCUACGGGAGGCAGCAGUGGGGAAUAUUGCAGAAUGGGCGGAAGCCUGAUGCAGCAACGCCGCGUGCGGGAUGACGGCCUUCGGGUUGUAAACCGCUUUCGCCUGUGACGAAGCGUGAGUGACGGUAAUGGGUAAAGAAGCACCGGCUAACUACGUG